UUUAACUAGAUCAUCUCAAUUUAUAUUUUGAGAUUUAUCUGUGUUGAUACAUGUGGCUCUGUGUCAUUUAUCUUAAUUGCUGUAUUAUAAUUCAUGCAUAUGCCACAAUUUAUUUAUCCAUGGACAUGCAGUUGUUUUCAGUUUUUCAAUAUUACUCACAGUGCAGCAGUCAAUUCUUGUAUUUUUCUCUGUAAGUGCAUGUGAGGUUUUCUCUAGAAGGAUAGAUAGAUAGAGCUCCUGGGCAGUAGGUAUAAGUAUCUUUGACUUUCUCAGGAAUUGCUCUAAGCAAUUUUUCUAAACAAAUCUCCAAAUCUCUCCUCAGGGCUUACAGCAAUUUACACUUCCAGCGGCAAUUAUGAGAGUUUCCAUUUUUCUACAUUCUGUGACUUGACAUUCAUUGGACCCUUUGAUUGUGCCAAUCUGAUGCAGCUGGAAUGCAGAUACGAUGGCUGCAGCUGGAGCAGUUAUCUUGGAUGAUGAAGUGAACUUGGAAACCAAAGCAAGAGUGGCAGAGGAACAGGAAACCAACCCUGAACAUUCAUCAGAAGGGCUGAUGCUGAAACUGAAACUCCCAAUACUUUGGCCGACUCACUGGAAAAGAUCCCGGUGCUGGGAAAGACUGAAGGCAAGAGAAGAGGCAGCAGAGGAUGAGAUGGUUGAAUGGCAUCACCUACUCAAGGGACAUGUGUUUGCACAAACGUUGGGAGCUAGUGAAUGACAGGGAAGCCUGGUGUGCUGCUCUUCAGGGGUAGCAAAGAGUCGGACACGACUCAGUGACUUAACAACAAGGAUACAAGUGUCUGAUUGGCUUUAGGGCCUACGUGGAUGAUCCAGGAUAAGCUCCCCAUCUCAAAAAGCUUAACUGAAUCGCAUCUCCAAAUCUGCAGAAGACGUAUCUCCAUUUUUUUUUUUUUUGGGCCAGGUAAAGUAAUAUUCACAAGUUCCAGCAAUUUUGAUAGAGAGAGGACAUUCCCAACCUGGUUCCAAGUGCGGAAACCCAGCUAAGAAGAGUCAGGGAAGCAAGAAAGAGGUUCAGAGUGUUCUGGACCUGGAAGGAGUCUGGACUGGCCAGAGCACAGGUCCCCUGGAGAGUUGAGUCAGAGGUCAGAGCUGGAAAAGUUUCCCCAGUCAAGCUUAGGCCAAAGGAGCCACCAAGCAGAGGAGGGACUCAAAGGGGUCGCAUGUUAGAAAGAUCCCCUGACCCCUGCGUGGAAAGAUGGGCUGAAGGGAAGGAGACUGCUGCUUGGGAUACAGGGAAAGACAACAGAGAGAGAGGACUGGCCUGUCUGGAGAGGGUGGCAUUGAAGAGAGGGAAGGGGCAGGAUGGAAAACUAGGAGGAAGUAGAUAGACUGUGGUGUGAUGGAUAGGGAAGAGGGAAGUGGGAGAUUCUGAAAAUCAGUGGUGGGCAUCUUUCCACUUGGUUUCUGUAAAUUGCCCAAGUCACUGUGUGAAGUGGGCACCACCGAUGAGGUCAUGCACUGAACCCCGCUGUGCCUCUUGACUCAGUUCUGGGCCACCUGGGAAGGAGCAGCCUUUGUCAGAGGCUUGGACAGGAAGUUCUCCAGCAGGCAGGUGUGCCAAUGCCAGCCAUGCCCACCCAGGUGCCGCCCGGUGCAGAUUCAUCCUGAGCCACUUCCUAGGGUGGGGCCACUUGCCCCCGGCCCUCUCCAGUCCCUCCCCUCCCUCCCUGUGUGUCUGGCUGCCUCUGACUCAGCCC
rnacentral:lncRNA from 1 species